AGGAAGAGAUGGUGGAAGACAUUUUAAAGUUAAACCAGGUUUUAAGCUGCAUGGUUGAAGACAAAUGUUUGUUUAUCCAGCAUUGGGAAGAAUGAGGAACAUUUUGGAAAAGUCAUUAUGUAUGUGAAAAUAUUAAGAUUAGAGCAUAAGAAUAUUGUGAAGACAAUCUACAAAUUAAAUAAUUUCCUUGCAUGAGCAACUUGUUCAGAGAUGGGAAGUGACAAUAGACUGAAUUAUUUCAUUGGAUGUUGUAAGAAUGGGAAAGAGCAGUAGCUUGAAGUAUGAAGUUUGAUCUUUGACUCAUCCAACCUAGCUGCAACUGCUCAUCAAAAUGUCAUGUGCAGGCUCCAAAGUCAUCUGGUGUUCAAUAAAUCCACUAAUGUCUCCUCUAA